AACGAACGCUGGCGGCGUGGAUAAGACAUGCAAGUCGAACGAGAGAAUUGCUAGCUUGCUAAUAAUUCUCUAGUGGCGCACGGGUGAGUAACACGUGAGUAACCUGCCCCCGAGAGCGGGAUAGCCCUGGGAAACUGGGAUUAAUACCGCAUAGUAUCGAAAGAUUAAAGCAGCAAUGCGCUUGGGGAUGGGCUCGCGGCCUAUUAGUUAGUUGGUGAGGUAACGGCUCACCAAGGCGAUGACGGGUAGCCGGUCUGAGAGGAUGUCCGGCCACACUGGAACUGAGACACGGUCCAGACACCUACGGGUGGCAGCAGUCGAGAAUCAUUCACAAUGGGGGAAACCCUGAUGGUGUGACGCCGCGUGGGGGAAUGAAGGUCUUCGGAUUGUAAACCCCUGUCAUGUGGGAGCAAAUUAAAAAGAUAGUACCACAAGAGGAAGAGACGGCUAACUCUGUGCCAGCAGCCGCGGUAAUACAGAGGUCUCAAGCGUUGUUCGGAAUCACUGGGCGUAAAGCGUGCGUAGGCUGUUUCGUAAGUCGUGUGUGAAAGGCGCGGGCUCAACCCGCGGACGGCACAUGAUACUGCGAGACUAGAGUAAUGGAGGGGGAACCGGAAUUCUCGGUGUAGCAGUGAAAUGCGUAGAUAUCGAGAGGAACACUCGUGGCGAAGGCGGGUUCCUGGACAUUAACUGACGCUGAGGCACGAAGGCCAGGGGAGCGAAAGGGAUUAGAUACCCCUGUAGUCCUGGCAGUAAACGGUGCACGCUUGGUGUGCGGGGAAUCGACCCCCUGCGUGCCGGAGCUAACGCGUUAAGCGUGCCGCCUGGGGAGUACGGUCGCAAGAUUAAAACUCAAAGAAAUUGACGGGGACCCGCACAAGCGGUGGAGUAUGUGGCUUAAUUCGAUGCAACGCGAAGAACCUUACCUGGGCUUGACAUGUAAUGAACAACAUGUGAAAGCAUGCGACUCUUCGGAGGCGUUACACAGGUGCUGCAUGGCCGUCGUCAGCUCGUGUCGUGAGAUGUUUGGUUAAGUCCAGCAACGAGCGCAACCCCUGUUGCCAGUUACCAGCACGUGAAGGUGGGGACUCUGGCGAGACUGCCCAGAUCAACUGGGAGGAAGGUGGGGACGACGUCAGGUCAGUAUGGCCCUUAUGCCCAGGGCUGCACACGUACUACAAUGCCCAGUACAGAGGGGGCCGAAGCCGCGAGGCGGAGGAAAUCCUGAAAACUGGGCCCAGUUCGGACUGUAGGCUGCAACCCGCCUACACGAAGCCGGAAUCGCUAGUAAUGGCGCAUCAGCUACGGCGCCGUGAAUACGUUCCCGGGUCU
rnacentral:rRNA from 1 species